rnacentral:tRNA from 1 species
CGGGCUGUAGUACAAUGGUAGUAUACGCCCUUCGGGUGGGUGAGACCCGAGUUCGAUUCUCGGCAGCCCGA